AGUCAUAUGCUUGUCUCAAAGAUUAAGCCAUGCAUGUCUAAGUAUACACCUUUACACGGUGAGACUGCGAAUGGCUCAUUAAAUCAGCAAUAGUUUCUUUGGUGGUGACCUACUACAUGGAUAGCCGUAGUAAUUCUAGAGCUAAUACAUGCGUAAAUCUCGACUCACGAAGAGACGUAUUUAUUAGAUAAAGACCGACCUCGUUCUGCGGUGAAUCAUAAUAACUUCACGGACCGCAUGGCUUUACGCCGGCGGUGUUCCAUUCAAAUUUCUGCCCUAUCAACUUUCGACGGUAGGAUAGAGGCCUACCGUGGUGUUCACGGGUAACGGAGGAUUAGGGUUCGAUUCCGGAGAGGGAGCCUGAGAAACGGCUACCACAUCUAAGGAAGGCAGCAGGCGCGUAAAUUACCCAAUACUAAUUCAGUGAGGUAGUGACAAGAAAUAACAGACCAGGGUUCUACCCUGGGACUGCAAUGAGCCUAAUUUACACCCCUUAGCGAGGAUCAAU
rnacentral:rRNA from 1 species